rnacentral:rRNA from 1 species
UAGUCCACGCCCUAAACGAUGUGUGCUAGCUGUUAGUCCUUCAGGGAUUAGUGGCGCAGCUAACGCAUUAAGCACACCGCCUGGGGAGUACGGCCGCAAGGUUAAAACUCAAAGAAAUUGACGGGGACCCGCACAAGCGGUGGAGCAUGUGGUUUAAUUCGAAGCGACGCGCAGAACCUUACCAACCCUUGACAUCCUGUGCUACAUCCAGAGAUGGAUGGUUCCCUUCGGGGACGCAGUGACAGGUGCUGCAUGGCUGUCGUCAGCUCGUGUCGUGAGAUGUUCGGUUAAGUCCGGCAACGAGCGCAACCCACAUCCCUAGUUGCCAGCAGUUCGGCUGGGCACUCUAUGGAAACUGCCCGUGAUAAGCGGGGAGGAAGGUGUGGAUGACGUCAAGUCUUCAUGGCCCUUACGGGGUUGGGGCUGCACACGUGCUACAA